rnacentral:misc_RNA from 1 species
GUGCCGCUUCAUUACGCCACUUGAUUACUCAUCACCCAGCUUUUCGCGGAAAGAAGCUCAACUUUUCUUCCUCCAGUCCUUGAACGGCUGUCUUCUCAAAAAGAAAGCUUCCCUUCUCUGUACAUCUCUCCAUUGAGAGGCUAAGGAGUCUCACCCCGAAGCCUAAAAAGCUCAUAGAUUCCAACUUUGUAACCCUAAUCUCAUCGCCUUUUUCAUAUCCAUACUUUAAAAUUCACUUAGGCAUGGCGCUUGUUUCUCAGGCAGGCCCAUCAUGUUGUGUUCCCACUGAGCUAACACGCUGUAAAACUGGUCAAAAUGCGGUUUUUGGUGUGACUAUUAGCAUGGAGGCAUCUAAACUGAAGGAAACAUGUGUUAGAUUCGCGUCAUUGUCAUGUAACUUUAUCAAGACGUCUUGGGUUCCAAGAGGGUGGGUAAAAAUGAGAAGAGGGGAUCAAAUGGUUGUUGCUGCAAGCCCUCCUACAGAGGAUACAGUGAUUGCUGCAGAACCGCUAACCAAAGAGGAUCUUGUAGGAUAUCUUGCCUCUGGAUGCAAGCCUAAGGAAAAAUGGAGAAUAGG